UACAUACUGUGCGAACGUUAUUCGGAUUCACUGGGCUUAAAGGGUGCGUAGGCGGCCUGUUAAGUAGGGUGUGAAAGCCCCCAGCUCAACUGGGGAACUGCACUCUAUACUGGCGAGCUGGAGUGAGAUAGGGGUGUGUGGAACUGCCAGUGGAGCGGUGAAAUGCGCAGAUAUCAGGAGGAACACCAACGGCGAAAGCACUCUGCUGGGCCGACACUGACACUGAGAGACGAAAGCUAGGGGAGCGAAUGGG
rnacentral:rRNA from 1 species